AAAAGAGAAGCAAAGCCGCGAGGUGGAGCAAAUCUCAAAAAAACAAUCUCAGUUCAGACUGCAGGCUGCAACUCGCCUGCACGAAGUCGGAAUUGCUAGUAAUCGUAGGUCAGCAUACUACGGUGAAUACGUUCCCGGGCCUUGUACACACCGCCCGUCAAACCAUGAGAGUUGGCAACACCCGAAGUCGGUAGUCUAACCGCAAGGAGGACGCCGCCGAAGGUGGGGUUGAUGAUUAGGGUUAAGUCGUAACAAGGUAUC
rnacentral:rRNA from 1 species